UAGACUGCUUGAGAUGAUGACGAGGAAGUACAGCUCUAUUGAUUGAGAGACUGAUCCAGCCAAAGAUGAUAGAUGGCUUUUUAUCUUUGUAGCUGCUUACAUCUCUGUUGCUGCUCAAAUGAUACACCUAACUCUGCUCCACUGUCUUCACCUGAAGACUGCUACUACUCAAAGCAUCUCUUCAGAAACCAUUUGUCAUUGUAGUAUGGAUUGAUGUCGCCCUCCUACACUCCCAGUCACCUCCAGUCCAUCUCAUCAGUGUUCUGUGGACUUCUUCAGAUGUCACUCCCUCAGCACACCCAUCAUCCCUCCUUCACCACCAGUCUCUUGACUCCAUCAUGGAAGUAUCGUACCCUGCUGAUGAGCACUUUCUUUCUAAGGGGAUUAAAACCAGAUCAGAUCUCUUCCAUUCGCCUGCGAGCAACACCUGCACCCAUGCAUUCCCCCCUCCCGGUGAUAACUGCCUCACUGACGUCAGCAAGCACUGCCAGAGUAUUGUUCUGUUUGGAAGGAUGGAGCUCUGUUCAUUUCUGCUGUAUGGUUCUGUGAAUGGCACUCAUCAGGAGAGUAAUCACAAGAUGACAACAUCUGUCUGUGCUGUGGUGGUUCUGUCAAUCACGCUCAAUGCUGCCAAUUUUUCCAACCAUUGGACUUCAGACAUCGUGUAUGCUUUUUUCCCCAACAAUUUACUUGUCAGGACUCAAAGUUUUAAACCCUGAAAAAUAUUGAGAAAUGAAAGAAAUGAAAAAUGUCAAUCUCUGUGGAAGUGUACAGCGAAAGAUUGUGUACAUGUUUUGUUUGAUGACAGUUUAGACUUUCCAACCUGUUGUAAU